GUAUUAAUGCACAAGAACAGGCAAUGAGUAACGGGAAUGUGAACAAUCCUUCCCAUUGCCACAUGCAGAAGAUAAAAGUGAGACUCCGAGCCAAGAGAGGAUCCGCCUUCCUGUCCUAAGGAAGGGUCACCGGACCCGCAACGUUAACUCUGGUUUGGCUGCACAGAUGCCGCCAGACCUGCUGAGUUUUUCCAGCAACUUCUGUUUACGAUUGCCCUUCCUGAAUCCCUUGACUCUGUUUAAACAUUCAGGUCUGCAAAAGCUGACCCUGUUAGGAAGCUGAGAUAGCAAUGCGCUGUGGGCUGGAUGGGCGAGCGAGGAUUAUGUGGCGAGAGAGAGAGAGAGAUAGCCGGACAAUGAUGUGAAGCAUGGCUCCGCUGCGCCUCGGGGAAUGGAGGAACUGGAUAGGCAACAAUUAUUUUAAUUGGAGGAGUCUCCUUUCAUCACUGAGUUCAGAGUUAGAUCAGUUACUACAGGAAUCUGGUAUCAUGGAUGGCAACUACAUGUCCCCUCCAGCAGAGCUGUUUUUGACUGAUAAGCCCCUCCCUUCUGGGCAAAUUGGAAUUGGAUGUUGCUGUUGGACUGACUGCCUUGCAACUGGGCAGAAGUGGGCAGAUGCUGGAAAUCAGAGUCUUGAUUAGAGUGGUGCUGGAAAAGCAUAGCAGGUCAGGCAGCAUCCCGAGGGAGCAGGAAAAUCGACGUUUCGGGCAAAAACCCUUCAUCAGCAAUGGAACUGUUGUAGUCAAACAUUGAGGUGGUUUGUUUUCCAAUGUGUACUACAGUAUACUUCAGGUGAGAGGUAUCAUCAGGAUUCCAAUAUCAGAUGUGAGCCCAAUAAAUGGUUUCUUGACACUC